rnacentral:rRNA from 1 species
UGCGUAGGUGGCCUGACAAGUCAGGGGUCAAAGGCAACGGCGUCAACCGUUGUAAGCCCUUGAAACUGUCGGGCUUGAGUUCAGGAGAGGAAAGCGGAAUUCCUAGUGUAGCGGUGAAAUGCGUAGAUAUUAGGAGGAACACCAGUGGCGAAGGCGGCUUUCUGGACUGAUACUGACACUGAGGCACGAAAGCGUGGGGAGCAAACA